rnacentral:rRNA from 1 species
AUUGAACGCUGGCGGCAUGCUUUACACAUGCAAGUCGAACGGCAGCGCGGGCUUCGGCCUGGCGGCGAGUGGCGAACGGGUGAGUAAUACAUUGGAACGUGCCCAGUAGUGGGGGAUAGCUCGGCGAAAGCCGGAUUAAUACCGCAUACGACCUGAGGGUGAAAGCGGGGGAUCUUCGGACCUCGCGCUAUUGGAGCGGCCGAUGGCAGAUUAGCUAGUUGGUGGGGUAAAGGCCUACCAAGGCGACGAUCUGUAGCUGGUCUGAGAGGACGACCAGCCACACUGGGACUGAGACACGGCCCAGGCUCCUACGGGAGGCAGCAGUGGGGAAUUUUGGACAAUGGGCGAAAGCCUGAUCCAGCAAUGCCGCGUGUGUGAUGAAGGCCUUCGGGUUGUAAAGCACUUUUGGCGGGAACGAAAAGGACUGUGCCAAUACCACGGUUCGAUGACGGUACCCGCAGAAUAAGCACCGGCUAACUACGUG